ACUAUAAGUAACAAAAUAGAUUAAAUAUCACUAGUAUAAAUUGUCCCAUUUUGAAACAAGAUGGAAACCACAAAUAUGGUGACUUGCUAUUCCAGAAUGAGGUCUGAUUACAGAAUUGCAAAUCUUCAGUUAAUUUUUCCCCAUAGAUUUUAUUUGGAGCAAAAAAAUAAAAUAAAAUUGAACAAUAAGUACAUUCUGCAAACAUUUGGCAAUCUAGAAGCCUGAAAAGAUAUACAUUUUGAUGCUUCAACAACUUUGGAUGAAAUCUGUCUAUUCCUAGUCACUAGAGCAGGGAUUUGAAUUUGGGUCUCUCACAUUUUAGGCAAGUGUCCUAACUGCAAGGCGGUACAGUUAUUCUCGUUUGCUUUCCCUGGGGCAAUGACUUCAUUAUCACCAUGAUUGUGUGUGAAUAACCAUGUAUAGUCAUUGGGCCAGGGAAAGAGUGAGAGUGACUCUACAGCCUGGUAGUUGGGGCACUCACCUGGGAUGUGACCGACAAUUUCAAGUCUCUGCUUCAAUGACUAAUUAUUUACAAAAAGUGGAACAGUUUCAAGAGAGAUUAAAGUAUCCGAUGAAGUGAGCUGUAGCUCACGAAAGCUUAUGCUCUAAUAAAUUUGUUAGUCUCUAAGGUGCCACAAGUACUCCUGUUCUUUUUGUGAAUACAGACUAACACGGCUGCUACUCUGAAAAGAGAGAUUAAGAAAGCCCUAUAUCAGAAUACUCCACUGCCCAGUGGCUAGGGCACUCUCCUGCAAUGGGAGCGGUGAUUUGAACCUGGGUCUGUCACAUCCUAGGUGAGUAGCCUAACGGUUAUGAGGAAGGCAUCACCACCACUUACUCCAGCUAUUUUGUGAAUUAUUUUCUUUGGUAAAAAGGCCAGAAAAAUAAAAAUGUUUCAAUAGAAAUCAAACUUUUUGUUCGACAUUACGAAAAAUGUUUCAAAUUUUUCAGUUUGGUUGAAACUAUUUGUCAAACUCGACACAAAUAGUUUUGGUAACCUCAAAACUGCAUUUUUCGACAAAUCUGAAAAACUUCAUCCAGCUCUACUUAAUUCUUCUUUUCCCUGAUAUUUACAGAAUAUUAAACAACGCUUAAGCUGCUCCUAUCAUGUUGACCAAUAUUAUUUCCUUGUACUCCAGGAUCUGUUGUUUCAUCUUAUAUUUAGAUUGGAAGCUCUUUGGGGCUGGAUGGCCUUUUUUGUUGUGUGUGGAUACAGUAUCUAGCAUUAUGGGGAGCUGGGCACUAUGGUAAUACAAAUAAAUAGUAAGUCCUAAAUCCACAAGUGAGAACUUAUGUUACAAUUUUUAUUACAGGUUGUCAGGUCUGAAGCAUACAACUCCCUUUCACUUCUAGGUCAGGGGUUCUCACAACAAAUUAUCUCACUGUUGUCCCACAACAGUCUCAGACUGUGGCCAACAACUCCUUCUGGUGGCUGCUCAGAUACAGUUACCUAAAAUACUUAAUUAACUUUAAGAAAACCAUAUGAAUAUGCACAUAUACAUGUCCAAAUCAUUGCAAUUCUUUCAUGUAGGGGUGUUUUGUUUUGUUUUUUGGCAGACUCAAUAAUAAAUAUAACGUAUAGUUGUAUUUUGGUGCCCCCGGCCUCUGCUGCCUCCCCAGGACUCUCUAGCACCCCCCGGGACACCACUGCUCUCCCCCACCCCCGCAUUGCCCCAAGCUCCCUUCCAGGGCCUUGCAACCCAGGCUCACUCUGCUCCUUGCCUCUUGACCAUGGCGUGAAGCCCCACCGCCCUGGGCUGAAGUUCAGAGCCAGAGCCCCACAUCUGGACCUGGCACAGAGGUGGGCUAAAGCACAGAGCACCACAACCCUGGGGGGGUUGAAGCCCAGAGCCCACCACCAGAGGCCCACGGCUGAAGGGGACGGGGUGGGGGCUGAAGCCCUCCCAAAGAGUCCCAUGGCUGAAGCCAAGCAGGGUGGGCUGAAGCUUGCCACCGGAGCCUUGGGCUGAAGCCAGGCAGGGGUUGGGGUGUGAAGCUGCCCCCAUAGUCCCACAAUUGAAAACGGGGGGGGGAGGGGAAGAAGGGGGCAGAAGCCUGCUCCUAGGUGCUGCAGGGAGGGGCCGCUGCUUUGCCCCCUCCCCAUCUCUGCCCAGAAGGCUGUCAUGGUUGCAUUUGAGAAACAAUGCUCUAGGUUACCAGUUUCAAUAUGACUAAACCUGUUACUGACCAAAAACAACGCUCUGAUGGCUAUUCAGGGCCUUUGUAAAAGUGAUAAGCGUGCACAUCUUCAUCCAAGCUAGUACUAACUGGAACACUUUUUGGCUGUUUCAGUAAGGGGGUGCCAAAACUGGAGCCUGAACUAUUUUAGCCAAUCUACAGAUGUUUGCCUACUGUGUCAAGGUUGAGGCACGUUUGCUGUUACUGUCUGUUCUGAACCUGUGGAUAAAGAGAAUUUAGGGUUUCUAGGUUUAUCAAUCUGACAUCUUGCAUCAUUACAGCUUUAAACAGUUUUAACUAAUUCUGAUUUAAAUUGUUUUAGAAAAGAAUAAGCUAUACUUACACAUUAUCUCCUCUAACAAUGUACAAUCCCAAUACUACUUGUUCAACUCCUUGUGAAGAACUGAACACUCGUUCAUGGCUUUCAU